AUUGAACGCUGGCGGCAGGCCUAACACAUGCAAGUCGAACGAGUGGCGGACGGGUGAGUAAUGUAUGGGGAUCUGCCCGAUAGAGGGGGAUCACUACUGGAAACGGUGGCUAAUACCGCAUACUAUCGGAUGCACCCAUAUGGGAUUAGCUAGUAGGUGGGGUAAAGGCUCACCUAGGCGACGAUCUCUAGCUGGUCUGAGAGGAUGAUCAGCAAAACGGGGACUGAGACACGGCACAGACUCCUACGGGAGGCAGCAGUGGGGAAUAUGGAACAAUGGGCGCAAGCCUGAUGCAGCCAGGCCGCGUGUAUGAAGAAGGCCGUCGGGUUGUAAAGUACUUGCAGCGAGGAGGCGUUACUCGCAGAAGAAGCACCGGCUAACGCCGUGCCAGCAGCCGCGGUAAUUC
rnacentral:rRNA from 1 species